rnacentral:rRNA from 1 species
CACGGGGGGAGCAAGCGUUGUUCGGAAUCACUGGGCGUAAAGGGAGUCUAGGCUGUCAGGUAAGUGAGAUGUGAAAUCCCUCGGCUUACCCGAGGACCUGCAUUUCAUACUGCUUGGCUUGAGUACGGGAGAGGAUGUGGGAAUUCCUGGUGUAGCGGUGAAAUGCGUAGAUAUCAGGAGGAACACCAGUGGCGAAGGCGGCUCACUGGCCCGGUAAUGACGCUGAGGUGCGAAAGCGUGGGGAGCAAACAGG